AAUGAAAGAAUUGUAAAGAAUGUAUAUGAAUUUAUUAAAGAGUCUAAGAGGUUUCUAAUUGUGUAAUAUAGCACAUUAUAAAGUGCAAAUACAUGCAUAUUGUGUAUAACCAUUCACAUCAUCACACACCAUCUCUUCAUAGUUCAAUAUUUUUUAUAUAUAUAUAAUGUAUUGUUUGUAUGCAUGCUUUGUAAAUAUUCUAUUGUUAUAAAUUGUUAUGGGAGAAGACUAUAUAAGUUUGAUUAACUUGUGUCUCAUCCCUUUUGCACAUUUAAGCAAAUAAAAUAUGUUUAAACUAAACUGA
rnacentral:lncRNA from 1 species